GCAAAUCAAAAAGUACAAAGACCAAUUUUCAGCAAAGUGACUAAAUCUGCACAAAUCGAGAAGCCAAGGGACUAUCCUUAGAAUUUAACCUAAAAUAUAAAAAGAUAAAUACAUUAGUAUAUAUUUUUUAGUAAUAUCUAAACUAAGUUAGCACUCCAUUAAUGCAUCACACCAAAUCAGGCAAUAGCUUUUUUACAAUUAAUGAAUCUAUAUGUAAAAGUCCACUGGCUUCAUGCUAACACAGAUUUGUUAAGUCCUGAACUUUUAUCAAUUUUCCUUUCUUUUAGUUUCCAAUGUAGAUGAGCCCCAAAUGAAAUAACGUCUAAACUUUUGGGUUGGGGUUAUCACCACUGUCGAAUGACAUAGCAAAUGACUGAUGGCAUUAUUAGCAAAAGAACCAAUUCAGCUUUAGGAGCCCUUGUUAAGAAAAGAACUGUAAGGAAAAGUGUGAUGAGAAAUGAUGCAGUAUUAGGUAUAUAAAACCAAAGAAAACUGCUUGUUCCGAUCACUGAUCUCCCUGCUCCAUUUGGAAUCUUAUCGGAACCUGCAUCAGCUUGUAAAUCACCACCUGGGGGGUUGAAAAUUACUUGGUAGGUCGCCGUUAGUACCAACCCGGAUAGGACUAGGAACGCAUUCCAUCUGCCACCUGGGAUAUUGAGAUUGGUCUGAGUGAUGAGUACCAUUAAUCUUUCGGAAAACUCAACCUUUAAUCUCAAGAGAUAAGAUAUGGGUGCGGGUUUGGAGAUUAAGCAUUUAAUCCUCCAGCUUGGGAUGGAAGGAUGAUAGCUCUGUUAGCAUUGGUUUGUUGUUGUAAAAUAUCUAGUGCCGUCCAACCCUUCGAAUUGAUGGCGUUCUUUGGAACCCCACAUUCUAUUAGUAGUCUUAUCAUCUGUUAAAUAGAUUCAUAUACAAAAUAAAUAUAGUGCAAGAAAUUUGUUGUUAAUUCUUGUGUAUGAGAUCAUACCUCUACUUGAUUAUGAAUGUUUGAUGCAGCUGUAUGAAAUACUGGGUUGCCUUCCUUGUCUUUCCAGUUUAAAACAUCUAAUUCCCACAAUCCGCCAUCUUUAUUAUAAGUCCUUCGUAACCAACGUCCAAGGAGUUGAAGGGCUUCAAGCUUGCUUCUUUCUGCUGCAAUGUGAAAAACAGUCUUACCGGAAACGGUCACAUCGGUGAUGCAUUGAGGGCAAGUUAUAAGUAACUUAGCCACGAGAUCAGCGGUCACCUUGUUCAGCAGCGUAAUGCAAAAGGGUCAUGCCUUUUUUCGCUUUCACUAGAACCAGCUCUUGGUUAAUUUUCAAGAGCUCAAAAAGCAAUUGGUCUCGGUGAUUAUGCAAAGCAAUGUGCAUUGGGGUAAAACCAUCUGGAUUCAGCUUUGUGGCAAAUGAUGGCUUUAAAUUCAUCAUCUCCACCCCAAAAUCAACUUGUCCUGCGGCUGCAGCAAUAUGCAGAGGAGUGUCAAUGAACUGAACCUCAUCGAUCUGCUCCAAAAGGUAUGGAUCUUGUUGGAAAAGCUCGUAUAGAUCGUCGAUAUUUCCUGAGUGAGCAACUUGCGUCCAAUUCAUUAAAGUCAAAAUCUGCAAGAACAGUCGUCUACAUGAAUCGAUAGGUAAAUUACUUAAGGGACUCGUAUGCCAUUUGCCACUCAAGAACAUGCUAAUCGUGUAUACAAAGAAAAAUAUAGAAACAAGUCUGAUUAGAUUCCAAUGCUAGGCUAAAGAAAAAAAGAUUAUACCCUUUUUUCCUCAAGCUGCCAUUGUUGCAAACUUCUUAAAACAAGACAUCUUUGGGCUGAAUGAUUUGAUAUUGAUUGAAGAGUUAGCAAGGAGCCACGCGAACCUCUUGCUUUACUUAGGAUAUGUAUGAUCUCUCUAUUAUUGUAACAUUCCAAAAACCGGGUUAGAAUAAAUUGGGUUAAUGAAACCCCGAGUUGUUAUGUCUUGAUUUUCAAUUAAGAUAUUGAAAAGUUUGUAAAGAUAAGUGAACUGAUUGAAUGCUUAAGUGUUGUGUUUGUGUGUAUAAGAUCCUGUGCUCAAAUCUCUUUUUCGAAUUUUUGUCAUUUUUGUCUUAAUCUCUAUUCUUGAUCAUCUAGCAUAAAUAAUAUUUUCGAUCAAUUAAACUCAUGAUAAGCUUAUUGGUUCAGCGGUAAGGUACUUUUUUCCCUUUGAUCCUGUAUUUGAGUUUUUGUGAAAGCAAUAAAGAAAUGUUUUGCAUCCUUUUGAAAAUAGAUAAGUUUUAUUUUAAACCAUUUAAUUAAUUCAGUUUUUGUCCACAUUUUUUUUCUUCUUUCCCAAACUUUUGCGGUUCUCUGCUUCUUUACGUUCUUCUUGCUCUUUCUUUUUAUUUCUCUUCUUUUGCUUUUUGAUUCAAAAUUUUAUGCGGAUGUGAGAAUUCCUUGCUCAUUAUCUUGUUUGGUGCUCUAAUUUGGUUGGGCAAGGGUUUGAUUCGCUAGUAUGGUGUGUACAGACCCAAUCUUACCCGGGCAUAGUGCCAAAAAUAUUAACCCAAUCUGGCCCAAAUACAAAGCCCAUCUAACUACCCAAAACAGACUCAGUACCCCAAGACCCAAUUACAAUGAACAGCCCAAUGACCCAAUAACCUAAAGCAAUCAGGAAACCCUAAUCCCCCUAACCCUAUUGCGCCGCACCCCCUGCUUCCUGACUUCCACGCCGCCGCCGUCACCCACCCUCAGCCAUCGCCAUUGUUUCGUCCACCUGCUCCACCAGCUUCUCUGACACCUGCAAAACAGAGCAAACACGCAAAGAGCAGCAAAAAAUAAUAGAAAUAGAUAGGUUAUAAAAGCAAAAACACCAUCUUUGUAUUUUUUAACGACUACUGAAAUAAAAUAAAAAAGCAGAUCUAAAGAAAAGGUUGAUUCCGAUUUUUUUUUCUCUGUUCUUGUUAUUUAUUUUAUUUUAUUUUUUUGUUGUUCAUUUUCUACUUUUUUUUUACAAAUCAAAACGGAAAAGGAAGGGGAAGGAGGUACUUACCGGUUUCGAAAGCCCGUCGCCAGAGAUCUUCUUCGGUGUUGGAAUCGGACCGAGAAAGGGACGAAAGGUCUCUCCUUUUUUCGGCUUGUUGGUCUGGAGGAUCGGGCCUUAAGGUGGAGGUCGAGAAUGGAGUUAAAAACCCCUCUUUUUCUAAAUCUGACCACCGCCCCUGACAGAGCCUCGGCCACGGAACGGCCGCUCGCCGGCGUGGGCCAUGUUUGGCUACUGGGAAUUUUGAGGGAGGGAGAGAAAAGUUUGUUUUUUUUAGUUGAAAUGAAAAUGAAGC
rnacentral:lncRNA from 1 species